AACAACUAGUACUAAGCUUGAUCAUAGAGAGAUCACUUGGAUUUUUAUUCGAUCGUCAGUGAUUGUCUCAAUACUGUAGUUGUGUGAUUGGUCCUUUGACUUAAGAUGGUACUGCUACUCGCAGUGAGGCUGUUGGAGUUUGACUGACACACAAACAUGGGUCUCAAUGAGCCCUUGUAGUGGAUGUUGGCGAUAGUUGGUCUACUGUAGGGGUAGAAUGUGCAUCG
rnacentral:lncRNA from 1 species